GACGAGUCCUGCCUCUGAGCCUGGCUGCUUGCUUCUGAUCAGUGAUGGGUGUGCUUGGUGCCUGCGCUGGCACCAGCCCACACUGGUGUUCACAGCUGUGAUUUUCUCUUUCUCUUUAUGAAGAAAAGGGAACUUCUGCUAUGUGUAAAGAGCAGAGGUGGGAAGAAAGCCCCACUGACGGCAUAUGCCUUAUGACAGCAUGUUAAUUGUGGAAGUGAUAGGGGUCUAGUAUCAUCAGUGAAGGAAAAAAAAAGUUGCUUUUUUUUGAUAUUUUUCUUUUUUCUUGAAAUCCCUCAAAAGGGGCUUCCAAAACAAUCAGGGAAAUACAUUUACUUUUUAAAUAAAAAGUUGAUGGGAGUGGGGCAAGGAGAAAAAAGGAGGAGAAAGAAGUAGUGCCAGCUGGACAUGAAAUCAAUUUGGCAUUUCAAAAUAAAAAAAAUAUUCCUUUCCCAUUCAUUUGGUCUGGCAUGUAACAUCAGCACUGCUGCCACUUCAUCACUUAGUUAGCAUGCUGGGAAGGAAACACCAGCAGGGUCUGAAUUGCCACUCGGCCCCCCGGAACAGGACACUGCCGUGGGACGGGGUGGCAGGCACAGCAGCGCCAGGAAGGAUGCUCAUCCAAACUAACCUCUGUGUAGGGAUACACAUUUUAAGUUUGAGCUCCUCACAUACACAAAAAGACAGAAAUAUUCACAGUAUGCAUGGCAUAGCCACAAGUCAGGCUCUGUUGGGUACUUAACAAGGGAAGGCUCCAAAUACUCUCGGCCAAGCAACAGAAGGAGAGGAAGAGGGACCAAAAAGAACUGGGGAAAACAAAGAGGUCUCCAUGAGUUGAUGUAAAUAGCAAGUUGCUGUAAAUCGAGCACUGUUAGACUUUGCAAGGACAGCAAGCAGGUAAGUCCUCUCAGUGGCAUAAGUAAAAAGGAGACAAAAGAGGUAAGUAAGGGGGCAGUGAGGGAAGAGACAGAUACUAGAGAUGUUCAGAUAGUGUAUCAAGCUAGUAAUUAUAGAAUCAUAAACGUAAAACAGGAUAAUUCAGUUUUCUAUAAGAAGAUAAAUAUUCAGGGUAAAAACAGGGAGUCUGUUAGGAAUUAGGGCAUGCAAAAACAAGGAGCCACACCACAGGUAAAAACAAGGCAGCAUGGUCAGUGUGCUUUACCAUAUUGACCAGGUCAUUUCCGUCCCAGGACCCCUAGAGAUUCAUUCACCAGACUACAUGAAAUCAUGAAUCCGACAGUAAUUACUUGUUGUGUGUACCUCUCCAGUCAGAGGUGUUUACCCAGGUUUUGAAAACUGGAAAUCAUUCAAGCCAGUUGACCACUGUCACCGCCAUGUUAGGAAAGGCCUCAAACAAAAUAUGAAGGAGAAAUAAAAAUUAGAAUGGUGUUUGGGGGAAAAGCCUGGCACCUAUCAAAUGCAGUCUGGGUUUAGCAGAGGCAGUUCAAGGCAGCUCAGUCUGAUAGACAACUGAAAGAGGGGUAUAUAAUGGUCAGAUUUUCUAGGAGCAAGAGAUAAAGUAGGAUCUAAGAUAGCUGAAAUCCAAAAGGAUACAUGAAAACUAGGGAAAUUAUCAGGAAAGCUAAAGAAGACAGACAUUAGUAAGAAUGUUGAGGUGCGUAAAGGGUUGGGCCAUGGUGAGAAAUGCCUGUUGUGCUUUAGGAGAGCAUCACUACAGAGGGAACCUGCCUGUGAGAUUCCUUAAAGAUGGGUCUUGGGUUUGCUUCUGUUAAACAUUUACGUGAAUGUUUUCAGCACAGGCAAAUGGGAGUGUGCUGAUGAAGUGUGCUUUAAUUCACUGACACUGCAGAGUAGUUUUUGGGAAGAACUGGAUGAGUAUAAGGGUGGAGUAAUAGGUGUGAGAUGAAAUAGGACAGCACAGAACUGAAAAUGAUGCAGAAAGGAAGUUGUGUGCUACUCUGUGGGAAAUUUUGUCCAUUGAAAUUGAACCAGUCUGGAAGGAUCUGAGCUCUGGCCUUGAUUGUCCAUGACCGUGAGUGUAAGGAGACUAUGAGAAAUGGAAAGCAGCCCCAAAAGGUACCAAAGCCUAUAAGAAGGAGAUAACUGUGAGUGGCAAUGAAGGUGCUGGUAAGUCCUGGUUCAAUUCUAAUUACUCACGUUCACGAAAGAUAAAUUUUACUGAAAUCAAGUGCAGAUAAGAAUAUAAAAUCAGGCUAUGGGGAAAAAAAUGAUGUAACUGAUGGAAAGUGAAUAAAAGCUUUUGGCUUGUAUUCUUUAGCAAAACUGAGACUGAGAGAAGCUCUGAUUGCUGUCUCUUCCCAAAGGAAGGGUAUGAGCUAUUUAAGCUGGGGAGAUGGUGGGUACAAAACCACUGGGUGUGGAUUGUCUAAUGUUAUCUAGGGCUGGAAACCAGAGGAUGCGUCCACUUGAGACCAGUGAGGCUCAGGGACAGCCUUCAGAUUUAGGCAACGCCUAGAUGGCUCGGGGAGAGGGUCUGGGGAGGGUUAGGACGCGCUGUAAGCAAGGGGAGCAAACUUGCUGCAUGGUUGCAUGAAUUUCAUUCCCAUCCUUCAGCAAUCCUUGAGCAAACUUGCUGCACUUGGUUGCAUGAAUUUCAUUCCCAUCCUAUCUUCUCCCAUUUGAGUAGUCAGUAAUGCCUGCAUGAGCCUCACAGCAGACUGUUUGCUCUGUGCUGUAUCAGUGUUUAUCUCAUUCGCAGCAGAAAAAACAAACCUGGGAAAUGAGCAUUUCGCUCCAAGGAGAAAGGCGGCUGUGAAGGGCAGAUCUGCCUCCCGGUUUCGGCAGGCUGUUCUCCAGCCAUCUUCCAUUCAAGCUGCAGACAUCACUGGGAACAAGAGCUAAAUAGUUCCUCGGCUGUUUCAUAACGGAGAAACGAGCCUCUGUGAGAGUGUUUGCCAGUAUAUUGUUCUUCUUGACUCACUUCCUCGUGCUCCCCCUGAUUGUUCGCCAUCAUAACGGCUGUUGCAGUUUCUCCUUGCCGUGGACCUUCUUCUUCUUUUCACUGUGAUGAUGGAGUGGAGCCUUCCUCGUGGUACUCUGGUCUGUGUCUUCCUCCUGCUGCCUCCAAGACUGCAGUCCUCACCCAGGCUCAUGGCGAGCACCCAACCUGCCUUGCUACCUGCUCUCCCUUCCUUUCUUCAAUCUGUGCACUAAUGAACAGAGUAACAAACCCAUCACUCUUUGCACUACUGCAGGAAUGGAGCUUUCAGAGAAAGAAGAGGUCUGCCAAAUCAGGCCACACUGCCUACUGUGCCUUAAGCCUGCCUGAAGAUGGCUUAGGCACAGCUAACUUCAGGUACCUCUUUGAGCUGCUGGAGUCCAUUUAUUUUCAUAGAAUCAUAGAGUUUGAGUUGGAAGGGACUUUUAAAGGUCAUCUGGUCCAACUCCUCUGCAAUGAAUAGGGACAGCAGAUCCAUAGCAGUGGCUUUCUCUGCCUGAACAGGGCUCUGGCACAGUCCCCAGUGGCUCUUCAGGUGGUGAUGACACAGGCUGCAGCUUGCUGUUUGGAUGCAGUCUCUUAAAAGCCUUCAGGAGCCAAUUUAUUAUCUAAAGACUGAAGUUAAACAAAAUUCUGUACAGUAAACAUCUCAGUAAUAGGUCAACCUACAAUACUAUUAUCUUAUUUGAGAUCGCCUUGUCUCUCUUCUUUGUGUUUAAGCUACCUUCCAGUACCUCCCACUCCUUGAGGACUGAGUCAAUAGAAAUGCACUCCAGAGAGGAAAUGAACCAAACUCUUCCCGUAUGGCAACCAGUGCUUUCAAAACACCUCUGGUUUUGGUGCUCCCAUUUUUGGUUGCCUAGAAUCAGGUGCCUUUAAGAUGAGCUUAAUUUGAACACCUGUCUUUGGAAGGCCACAUUUAUUUCAAGUCGCUUCAAGCUAGGGACCCAAAAAAGAGCAAGAUGAUAAGUGAUUUGGAAAAACGCAGGAUAACACAUUCUCAUUAGUGAUGAACCUGUUGUGGAGGAGGUGGCCCACUGAGUUCUGCAGUGCUGGCCUCCAUGCGGAAGGAUGUCUAACGAACCUUAGAAAAUUCACAGUUUAACUGUGGGUGUCGGAAGCUGAUGCUCCUAAAGCAGACAAGUCAAUUUAACAGGAAAGAGGAGUGUGUGCUGCUCAGUAGUUGUGAUGUGCCUCAUUUGUGGCUCCAAAUAUAGUCGCACGUCUAUAUCUUUAGUUACCCACAACUGAAAAUCUGUUGUGUGAAACUUCUGAGAGUGUGUGCUGGGGUGCGAGUGAACAUCAUGUUGUUGAAAUCAAGAGACUGAGCUUCCUGAACACCUUUAGAUUUCCUGCUGAAGGAAACUGAUUUUCUGGAAGAUUUUCCAAAGGAUUUUCUGCCCACAGGUAUUCAUCUGUACUGUUAAGUUGCAAGAAUUUUUUUUUUAUUAUUUUCUAUGUUUUGGUCAUAUCCUCCUCACUAUGCAGUGUAUCUUGUAUGUUAUUAUGCAGUCCCUGUAUGAUCACUGUGGCAAGGGAUGGUACCUACUCCUGUCACAAAUGACAAUCGAGUAUUGCUGGGAUCCCACUAAACAUUUACAGAGAGCUCGAGUCUUCAGGUGCCACGUGCUAGAUAAAAGCAACUUGGAUGGCAGAGAGCUGGUUUGUAUGAGGUUUCCAAAUGCAGCAUUGCUCCUUACUUAAUGGCAAAAUACAACCUCAGCCCCCCUUCAUGCAGCUGUUGCUCCUGCCCUGCCACCACACGCGGGUGCAGAUCUUCCACCCAUCACUUCUGACAAGGUCUCAAGUAGUUCCCUGGUGCCAAACAGCAGUAUUUCCUUCCCAGUACACAUCACAUUCUUGCUGCAUUACCUGCAAUCCUACCUUGAGUUGCUGCUUGAAAAACUGAGAUAUGGUCUCAAUGGUACUCAUGGUUUUACAUUAGGUGUCAGUGGGUCACAUUUGUCUGAUUUGUUUGUAUCUGUAGUGGAUUACAUUUCCUGUAUUAGGUCAGGAAAGCUAGUUAAGUUGUGUAGAAGUCCAAUUUUAAAGACUUGAAAGCUCUUUGAAUUUAACAUCUCACUGAGCUAGCCUGUAGCAGAGCAAUCAGAUGACCACAGAGCCAGAUACUCCUUGGGCAUCACACUCCUGGCCUGAAUGCUCUCUGUCUUGAAGGCAUGAAGCAUGGUAUGGAAUUCAAACUCUUUGCAUGGGCUGCAGAAGUUUCUUUAGCACAUACUUGCUUUUCGUUUUUUGUGCACAAAUGAAUUGUCUGAUUGGGAUUAGAAGUGGAACCAGAGAUACCGAAGUACCGCUACGAUGGUGCUGGGACUACGCUGUACCUAAGUGAUACCAUAUGUUGGCCUGCUUCUGGCAGUUUGCUGUGUGACUACAUCAGCUCAGUAGGGAUCUGUCUGGAAAAACAGGGUGGAAAAGAAUAGCUGAAGAGAGCCUCUCUGAGCAAAUGCUGACAGAGCUGCUGAGGGGCAACCCCAGAACCAUCGUCUUUGAUGGCUUUGUUUCCAAACCAGCCAACCUACAGAAUUGGUUACAACCAGGAAAGGAAGAAGACUGUUACAAAACACACUCAGGAAAUGUCUUUGCCUUUCAUUACACAGUCUGUAGGCAAUGAUUAUCAUCAGCCUUGGAGAAGGCACCCAGCCAGAAUACCAAAUAGCCUUGGUGUCAUAGUGCCUGCCAGGGAACUGUGACCUGAGACAGGAUAGAAACCGAAAGUUUGCAAAUGGUUCCAAGUUUCCUAUCUAAACCCCAUCUACCAUAUGAAGGAGUGCCUGUAGAUUUCAAUGCCUGCAUGACCCUUCUUUCUGUAGGACAGACAAACACCCUACACCCUGUCUGAACACCAAAGGUAGCAAUAAAGAAAGUCUCACUGCCAGCUUUAGACACAGGCUAAACAGUCAUCUGGCCACACUGCAGUCUGUUGUGAGGGGAAAUAAAUCCAGUGAAAUCCUUACAGACAGGCACGUGUGGAGCACGGCUGAUACCUCAUUUACAGCUCAUAAUUACUGCAGUUAUAACAUUUCAUACUUUUAAGUGGAACUCUCCUCACGUUAUUCCUGCAGCAUUUAUUUUUGAAGUCUUUUGUUCAUUCCCCUUACACGGCUCAAAAUGUGUUAGGAUCUGAAAGAUAUUGGUUCCAGUACUGCAGCUGCCAUCCCAGCAAACAAGUAAAUAAAACAAAAAUUCCGUGAAUGAGAAUCCGAAGCGGCUGUGGGGAGGAUUAGGGAUUAGUAAAGGAUGAUUCUGUCAUUGUUUUCCUAAUUGAUAAAAGACGGACCACUGUUAUUUUGAAUAAGGCUGUUACCACACAAGCCUCAAGCAACUCAACAGAAGAUACUGUGUAAUGGAGAACAGCUUCUGGAUGUUGAUCGUGUUCCUGUGAAGUUACUAUACUCUGAGUACACAAAAGUAGGGAGCGAAGUGGGUGAGGCGAUACCUCUGCUCCCUCUUUUUAAGCUUAAUGGAAAAAAUUACUUUCAGAGGAAUCCACUUCAUUUUUCCUCUACUGAUUUCCUCUCCUGAGCUGCCUCACCCCUACUCCAGCCCUGCCACGUGCUCUGUACUCAUUACUCCUGCCUGCCCAGGUACUGCCCCUUCCCCAUCCCAGAGGACCUGGAGCCAAAGCAAAGCAUUUCUGCAUGAUCCCCUCUUGCGGCAGCCUUCCAUUCAAUGCUUCUUCAGCACCUGCACUUGACAUCAGGCACACUGAUGUUUACAGCAGCAGCCAAAUCAGUUGGGUUAGAUUACAAAGAAUUCAGGAUAGCUUUACAAGGUUUACUUAGAAAGGUAUGUCUAUAUUUACUCUGAUCAUCAGCACUUCUGUUGAAUAUCUCUGCACAUUUAAAUGGAAUCCAAAAGAAAACAUAGGAAAAGUAGUAGCACACACAAUGCUAAGCAUCCUAAUGCACAGGUCAUAUUUUAGAGGACGAAAAGGAGGUGCCUGGCAACUCAGAAGAGUCAUCUGUUAAAUCAAAGGGGAUGUAAAGGUUGGAGUCAGAAGCAGCUCAUCUCUGCAGGGCCUCAGCACAUCUGAGCACAGACCUUACUAACUUGGCCUGCUAGGAGCUCCUAAGUCCAACCAACUGCUGAGCCCCACAACCACACAGAGAACUGUGGUGGGAUCACGUGUGCUACACGUCCCAAAUGGGGCUGGUGUCCUGUGAGCUUUGGCCAAAUUCCACUGUGCCAGCACUCAGAGAUGAUGUGUAAGGUGAGGAUCAGCCCAGUCCUUUGAAGUUGAAGGGGUGGCAGUUGGUUUAGACGUGGCACUGUCUGUCUGGUUGAGGAGAAGGAAAAACCACCUGGGAUAAGAAAGGAUGACAGCCACCAAAGGGUUUGGGAGGUUGUACCCCUACAUAUAAAUACUGUAGAAAGUUAGACACCACACCAAGUAAAUUCCCAUAAAGCAGCACGUUUUGCCUCCUUCCCAGCUCCAUCAUGAAAAUAUUUAUGCCCUUCCAGGGCUGCCAGAUUUGCUUUUAAUACCAGUGUGUGGACCCAAAACCAUGCCACACCCAGCUGAAAUUGCCUUCUGGGUACAGGCUCCGAGGAAGUUUUAGGCCCAUGCACACCAGAUGACAAAUGGCCAUCUUUAAACGUGAGCUGCUCUCCUUUCCUCCCUCCCCAAAAGCACGUGUGUAAACAAACCAGCUCAAGGAAGAGGCUCUGAUUUUCCUUGCAUUCCUCCAGCUUGAAUCUCCUGUCCUUUCCCUCAUGUCAGUCAGGGGGAAAAAAAGAAGAGCUCUGUUUGUUGUUGUUCAGCAGCUGCUCCUGAGCCUGCAUGAGAAGCGAGGAGCGCUGUGCUGGGGAAAUCUGACUCCAGUGCCACAAGGACCUGCAGGGAAACAAGAACUGCUGGGUAUGUCCAGAGGAGCCAAAUGGUUGCAGCGGUGCCCUACAAGUCCAAGAAGAGCAUUUGAUAUGCUUUUAAAUGGUCAGUAUGAGUAGUCGGGUGAAAUUAAGAGGAGGAAGUUCUCAGCCUUGCAAUUGGCAAAUAUUUGUUAAGAGUGGAAUUUACACUUUCUCAGAGCUCCCUGGGGUAAGAACAAGAGUGGUGUGAAUUUUAGAAUUUUAAACUAGACAAGACAAAGCCCCCAGUGGGUGAAACAGUCAGUGAUCCUGCUCAGGGACAGGGUGAACUGCUGGCCUCUCGUCAUGUGUCUCUCCCAUCCCUCACUUCUGUGAUACUAUAAAAAAGCCUGACCCAAUCCCAGGAUUACACAAAGAAUGCACUGCAACAAAGAGAAGCCCAUGGCCUUUCUGCUCACCCUUUAGUGGUAUUUAGGACCAGAAGAGAGGUUGUUCUGAAUAGUCAGAAUGACAUUCCUGGCCAUGUUUAGCAAAUGCUAUCUGGGUUGAGAGGAAAAAUAUGUGCCAUCUUAUUAGAAUAUUUUCUCCAUGUUCUCCUUUAAUCCAGGUGUCAAAUGGAGGCAAUGACGGCCAUUGAAGCCAUUCUUGUGUGUCUGAGAAGCUACUUCUUCCUGCCUCUGUAUGAGAAUGGGCUAGUCCCAAGUGCUGCUCUGCAAUUAGGAUAUUAAUAGCCCUAUUACUCCGUGCCAUCUAGGUUGCUUUAAAAUUCAUGGUGCAGUUAGAUGAGAUUUGUUCAUAACAGGAAAAGUACAGAGGUGCAGGAAGACUGAGUCAGAACAGAGCUUUGAAAUGCAUCAAGCAACCAUUUAAUUAAAGAAGGGUGCUCUAAUAUUGUGUUCCAAAUGAUUACUUAUUUAUAUACUCCUCAAAUAGUGCUAUUUUUAAACCGGAUUUUGAAGGGAAGACAAUUUGUAUUUCAACAUGAGGACAGCCUUAAAGCUAAAUUUGCUGCCAGCACUACACUGCCCAGGAGGAGCAGGAAAAUAAAAAUCUCCACAUCCUCCCUACUUCUUCUGCUGCCUCCCAGCACCAUAGUGCCAUCUGGAAUUGUGCUGCUCAGUGCCCGCAGCCUUGCCACCGCAUCGUAGAAUCAUUAAGGUUGGAAAAGACCAC